AAAGACGGUUGCGAGUCCAUAGGACUCGAGGAAAGUCCGAGCUCCAUAGGGCAGGAUGCCAGAUAACGUCUGGCGAGGGUAACCUUAGGGAAAGUGCCAUAGAAAAGGAAACCGCCACGUCAGUGGUAAGGGUGGAAAGGUGAGGUAAGAGCUCACCGGGUCUUAUAGCAAUAUAGGAUGCCGUACGCCUUAUGGGUUGUAAGGUCAUGUAUACCGGCGCAUGUAGGAUUGCUCGUCCGAUGCCGGGGGGUAGACCGCUAGAGCUUACUGGUGACAGUAAGACGAGAUAAAUGACAGACGCUCCCGUGCAAACGGGAGUACAGAACCCGGCUUAUAGGCAGGCUGC
rnacentral:RNase_P_RNA from 1 species